GGUAGUCCCCCACACUGGUACUGAGACACGGACCAGACUCCUACGGGAGGCAGCAGUGAGGAAUAUUGGUCAAUGGGCGCUAGCCUGAACCAGCCAUGCCGCGUGCAGGAAGACGGCCCUACGGGUUGUAAACUGCUUUUCUGCAGGAAGAAUAUAUAGUCUUAGGGCUAUAUUGACGGUACUGCAGGAAUAAGCAUCGGCUAACUCCGUGCCAGCAGCCGCGGUAAUACGGAGGAUGCAAGCGUUAUCCGGAUUCAUUGGGUUUAAAGGGUGCGCAGGCUGUAAAGCAAGUCAGUGGUGAAAGCCCUGGGCUUAACUCAGGGAUUGCCAUUGAAACUGUUUUACUAGAGUGUAGUAGAGGACGGCGGAAUGAGUUGUGUAGCGGUGAAAUGCAUAGAUAUAACUCAGAACACCUAUUGCGUAGGCAGCUGUCUAUACUACAACUGACGCUGAGGCACGAAAGCGUGGGGAGCGAACAGGAUUAGAUACCCUGGUAGUCCACGCUGUAAACGAUGAUCACUCGUUGUUGGCUACUUAGUAGUCAGUGACCAAGGGAAACCGAUAAGUGAUCCACCUGGGGAGUACGUCGGCAACGAUGAAACUCAAAGGAAUUGACGGGGGCCCGCACAAGCGGAGGAACAUGUGGUUUAAUUCGAUGAUACGCGAGGAACCUUACCUGGGCUUAAACGCUGGCUGCAUUGGAGGGAAACCUUCAUUUCCUACGGGACCGCCAGCAAGGUGCUGCAUGGUUGUCGUCAGCUCGUGCCGUGAGGUGUCGGGUUAAGUCCCAUAACGAGCGCAACCCCUAUCGCUAGUUGCCAGCAUGUAAUGGUGGGGACUCUAGCGAGACUGCCGGUGUAAACCGGAGGAAGGUGGGGAUGACGUCAAAUCAGCACGGCCCUUACGUCCAGGGCUACACACGUGUUACAAUGGCCGGUGCAAAGAGCAGCCACCUGGCGACAGGGCGCUAAUCUCUAAAACCGGUCUCAGUUCGGAUCGAAGUCUGCAAUUCGACUUCGUGAAGGUGGAUUCGCUAGUAAUCGCGCAUCAGCCAUGGCGCGGUGAAUAAGUUCCCGGGCAUUGUACACACCGCCCGUCAAGCCAUGGAAGUCGGGGGUACCUGAAGUCCGUAACCGA
rnacentral:rRNA from 1 species